rnacentral:rRNA from 1 species
CGCGUAGGCGGAUGGCACAGUCAGAUGUGAAAUUCCCGGGCUUAACCUGGGGGCUGCAUUUGAUACGUGUUGUCUAGAGUGAGGAAGAGGGUCGUGGAAUUCCCAGUGUAGAGGUGAAAUUCGUAGAUAUUGGGAAGAACACCGGUGGCGAAGGCGGCGACCUGGUCCUUGACUGACGCUGAGGCGCGAAAGCGUGGGGAGCAAACA